GAUGAACGCUGGCGGCGUGCUUAACACAUGCAAGUCGAACGAGGCCCUCCCUUCGGGGAGGUGUCCUAGUGGCGAACGGGUGAGUAACACGUGGGCAACCUGCCCCCGGCUCUGGGAUAACUCCAAGAAAUUGGGGCUAAUACCGGAUAUGACCGCUGACCGCAUGGUCUGGUGGUGGAAAGAUUUAUCGGCUGGGGAUGGGCCCGCGGCCUAUCAGCUUGGUGGUGGGGUAGUGGCCUACCAAGGCGACGACGGGUAGCCGGCCUGAGAGGGUAACCGGCCACACUGGGACUGAGACACGGCCCAGACUCCUACGGGAGGCAGCAGUGGGGAAGAUUGCGCAAGGGGCGGAAGCCUGACGCAGCGACGCCGCGUGGGGGAUGACGGCCUUCGGGUUGUAAACCUCUUUCAGCAGGGACGAAGCGAAAGUGACGGUACCUGCAGAAGAAGCACCGGCCAACUACGUGCCAGCCGCCGCCGUAACAC
rnacentral:rRNA from 1 species